rnacentral:rRNA from 1 species
CCUACGGGAGGCAGCAGUAGGGAAUAUUGCACAAUGGGGGAAACCCUGAAGCAGCAACGCCGCGUGAGCGAUGAAGUUCUUCGGUUUGUAAAGUCCUUUUAGUAGGGAAGAUAGUGACAGUAUCUGACGAAUAAGCCCCGGCUAACUCCGUGCCAGCAGCCGCGGUAAUACGGAGGGUGCAAGCGUUACCCGGAAUCACUGGGCGUAAAGAGAGCGUAGGCGGGGGAGCAAGUCAGAUGUGAAAGCCUAUGGCUUAACCAUGGGACUGCAUUGGAAACUGUUAUGCUAGAGUAUGGGAGGGGUAGGUGGAAUUCUUGGUGUAGGGGUAAAAUGCGUAGAGAUCAAGAGGAAUACUCAUGGCGAAGGCGACCUGCUAGAACAUAACUGACGCUGAGGCGCGAAAGCGUGGGGAGCAAACAGGAUUAGAUACCCGUGUAGUC